rnacentral:lncRNA from 1 species
UCUCUCUUCCUCCUCCCUCUCUCAAAACUCUCUGACAUCUCUCCUCCUUCGUUCGCCUUCCGGCGGCGACAGCGGCGCUGUCGUCGCUCCUUCUUCUCCUUCUCUUCUUCUGAUGCCCUUAUCCUCCUCUUUGUCUCCUUCUUCUCCUCCUCCGUUUCCUCCCUUCUUUCGCCGCUCCUCUCUCCCUCUCUCUUUUUUUCUCUUCCUCUUCUUCUCAUCUACUUCUCUUCCUUUGUUUCAACGACGCCCCACGGCGGCGGCCAUAGCGGCUACGACGCGGCCUCUCCCUCAACGGUUAAAAAAAGCUAAAUAAAAACUCAUAUCUACCUCCCUAGCCUUCUAUUUUUUUGAUUUAAUCAGAUUCUGAUUUUCAUGUCGUGGGGAUGCAUCCGGCGAAUCCUCCGGCGACAUGCAAGCCCAGAUCUACAGAUUUAGGGUUUAAAUCUUGCUUGUGUGGCUUUUUCUGACUUCUACUCUCUUGUUUUUGUUUUGUUUUUUUAUAUGGGGCUGGAAAUCGGCUGAGAGAAAAGAAAAGAAGACCUCCCCGCUGACGACGAGGUCGGGGGUAGCGGCGAAGAGACGGACUGAGAGAUGGGGAGUCGGUAAAAAAACUCUAUUUUAUAUUUUUUUUUUAUUAAUCCAUGUUCUAGUAAAAAAUGAAACUAACCUUUUUUUUGUCAUUUUCGGGCGAGAAAAUGAAAGAAAAACAUACCUGAAUCACUCAAGAAAAAUGGAAGCAAAAGAGAGGAGGAAACAGCCUAUUGUAAGGUAAAAUCUUAAUCUCUAACUAUUCUGAUUUUUCUUGGUGGAUGGUAGUGAUUUUGUUAUUGACUAAGUUGCUUAAAAUAUGAGAAAAUUUGACUAUUUUGUUACUGAAACUGGAGUAGUAAUCUAGAUGUUUAUGAAACAACUUUCUGUUUGAAAAAUUUGACUAUUUUGUUACUGAAACUGGAGUAGUAAUCUAGAUGUUUAUGAAACAACUUUCUGUUUGAAAAAUUUGACCAUUUUACUACUUUUAAUAAAAUUCCAGCAACAUUAUUUGGCCGAAAAUCCAUAUUUUAGCUCGAUUUUGGCAUUAUAUUACUAGUUUCACAGUUCUUUGACUCCUUGGUGCGAAAAUGCUGAAAGAUGGCCAUAGGUUCCUUUGUUAAUAUGUUUUCCAGCAAUUAUUAUUUGAUUUUAAAGGUUUGUUUCACUUAUUGUUUCAUUGUUUAUUAAAAUGAAUCGUUUAUUCGCUUAGUUGAAAUGAACGUUGGAUUCAAGAGUAGCUUAGACAGUGAUUAGGCGAUAUAGCAUAUCAAGCAUAUCAAUAUGUAUGUAUAAAUUAUAUGUGAAUGAUUACAAAAAGAGUAUUUAUUUUGAACGACAUACCUUUAAUACGGAGCUUUGUUUUGUCGUUUUUCAGUUGGCGGCACCCUUUUCUCGUUUCCUAGUUCCUAGGACCUUCCCCUUUGUCGGCUCCUUCGUGGGUGACGACAGAAAUCAGAGAAGUAGUAAAUUGCUUUUGGUGUUUUGUAAUUUUUUGGGAGUUUUGUAGACUGAAAGUUUUGUAUUUCUUUUUCGACUUUUAGUAGAGGGUUGGGGAAGUAAUCUGGGAAAUGGAAUUAUUUCCUUCUUACCUUCUACUUUUCUGUCGUCUCCUUCGUUUGUUUGAAAAUUUGAUCGUCC